CCAGCCUAACCCAGCCUCCCACACAGCUUCCUGAAGUUAGGAAGCAGGGGAUAAAUGCUUUUCACAGGACUGGGGAGAAGGUCUUAGAGGACCAGCAGCUCCUGAGAUAAGCAGGAUGCUGCGGCUAAGUGUGUCUGGGCUGGACCUGGGCUCUGUGGUGACCUCGUCAUGGCAUCUUCUGCUGCUUGGAGUGGCUUCCUGGAUUUUGGCCAGAAUCCUUGCCUGGACUUACUCAUUCUAUGAGAACUGCUCCCGCCUCAGUUGUUUCCCUCAGCCUCCUAAAAAAAACUGGUUUUCAGGUCACUUGGGCAUGAUCCAGAGCAAUGAGGAAGGCAUGCAGCUGGUUACCGAAAUGGGCCAGACUUUCCAAGAUGUCCAUCUCUUUUGGCUGGGACCAGUGAUCCCUGUGCUGAGGAUUGUUGACCCUGCAUUUGUUGCCCCCCUGCUCCAGGCCCCAGCUUUGGUGGCCCCAAAGGACAUGACAUUUUUACGCUUCCUGAAGCCCUGGCUGGGGGAUGGGCUCUUCCUGAGUUCAGGUGACAAGUGGAGCCGCCAUCGUCGACUGCUGACACCUGCCUUCCACUUUGAUAUCCUGAAGCCCUAUGUGAAGAUUUUUAACCAGAGUGUGAACAUCAUGCACGCCAAGUGGAAGCACCUAUCCUCGGAAGGCAGUGCACGUCUGGAAAUGUUUGAGCACAUCAGCCUCAUGACCUUGGACAGUCUGCAGAAAUGCCUCUUUGGCUUUGACAGCAACUGUCAGGAGUCUCCCAGUGAAUACAUUUCUGCCAUCUUGGAACUCAGUUCCCUCAUAAUAAAAAGGUCACUUCAGCUCUUCUUGUUCGUUGACUUCCUGUAUUACCACACUGCUGAUGGGCGGCGCUUCCGCAAGGCCUGUGACCUGGUGCACAACUUCACAGAUGCUGUCAUUAGGGAGAGACGGCACACUCUCUCCAGCCAAAACCAUGAUGAGUUCUUGAAGUCCAAGACUAAGUCUAAGACUCUGGAUUUCAUUGAUGUUCUCUUGUUGGCCAAGGAUGAACAUGGAAAGGAGCUGUCAGAUGAGGACAUCCGGGCAGAGGCUGACACCUUUAUGUUUGGAGGCCAUGACACCACAGCCAGUGCACUCUCCUGGAUCCUGUACAACCUGGCGAGGCACCCCGAAUACCAGGAGCGCUGCCGGCAGGAGGUUCAGGAGCUGCUGAGGGACCGAGAGCCUGAGGAGAUUGAAUGAUCGGGUUAAAUUAGGUAACCCUGACUGACCUGGACACAAUGUGCAGAUCAGGGACGACCUGGCCCAGCUACCCUUCCUGACCAUGUGCAUCAAGGAGAGUCUGCGGCUACAUUCCCCAGUCAUAGACCUCCUCCGCCGCUGCACCCGGGACAUUGUGCUACCUGAUGGCCGGGUCAUCCCUAAAGGGAACAUCUGUGUCAUCAGCAUCUUUGGUAUUCAUCACAAUCCAUCAGUCUGGCCAGACCCUGAGGUCUAUGACCCCUUCCGCUUUGACCCAGAAAACCCACAGAAGAGGUCCCCUCUGGCUUUUAUUCCCUUUUCUGCCGGGCCCAGGAACUGCAUAGGACAGACUUUCGCCAUGAGCGAGAUGAAGGUGGCACUGGCGCUGACUCUGCUGCGCUUCCGCAUCCUGCCUGAUGACAAGGAGCCGCGCCGGAAGCCAGAGAUAAUCCUGCGGGCGGAGGGCGGGUUGUGGCUGCGGGUGGAGCCUCUGAGCAAGGGCGCUCAGUGACCAGGUCUACUACUGUCUCAGUCACUUUCCUUUGCCAAUCCCAGAAUAAGCGGAGUUUCACCCAGAGCCAUCAGAGGGCGCUGCAGGAUAACAGAGACUGUCUGGAAGCCUGGCUGAGAAAAGUCUGGGGCUGCUUUCUGAGUCCAAGGGCCUUUCUGGGUAGCCCACAGGGCCUGCAGACUGAUGAAGAGUUGCAUGCACCCCAGCUCAAGAACGGCCUUUAUUCUUUUAGCGAUAGGGAGGCACCAUAGAUGUUUGAGCAGGAGAGUUACAAGGUUUACUGGCAUGUAACCUCCCACAAGUCUGAAGCAGGCUGAGCCAGACCUUGACUUUGCUGACACUAAGGAGAUUACCUAGGGUGUAGCCUUCCUCCCUAGAUUACUCUAGUGUUCAGCCAUUUUCCCUGUUCCUCUUCAAGAUACUGCUACGGUGCUGAGAGGCCCCAGAGCUAUUCAGGAGACUAUGCCUGCAGCUGGCUCCAGGCUCCAAAUUGAAUUGGUGGGAAUGGGCUUCCCCUCCUUUUUAUAAGCGCAUUCUCCAUUAAACAUUUGAACCUUGAACAGAC